rnacentral:rRNA from 1 species
CUCUUCCGAUCUGGGUUCUGGAUUAGGUAGGAGUACCCGCUGAACUGAAGCAUCUCAUUAAGCGGAGGAAAAGAAACUAACUAGGAUUCUCUUACUAAAGGCGAUCGAAGAGAGAAGAGCUCGAAAGCUUAAUCCCUUUCGGGGGAAAUGUAGCUGGAUCAUCUUUGCAACGCUGACAACUUUCCUGGAAACGUUGGGCGAUACAGAGUUCAAGCCUCGUACAUGCAGCACCGCAAGCAUGAUGGUCUAAAACGAGUCGGGUAGCUUGAGAUUGCUGCCUUAAGAUGGGUGGUAUGCCUCAUCCAAAGCUAAAUAUUGUAAGGAGACCGAUAGAGUACAAGUAGUGUGAACGAACGAUGAAAAGAAUUCUACGACAGAGAGUGCAAAGCGCCUGAACUUGUCUAGGAGUCAGCAUCUUAGAUGCGCCCGUCUUGUAACACGGAUUAGGGAGUUUAACUGCAGUGCGAGUUUCCGCUUUAGAAAAGCGAAGGCGAAAAGAGAAUGACUGGCUCAUUAGAGCAUGGCGUCUGAGCACUGGUGUUAGAACCCGAAUGGUGGUGAACUAUGCCUGCACAGGACGAAGCCAGGGGAAACUCUGGUGGAGGUCCGUAGCGUUAUUGAUGUGCAAAUCAUUUGUCAGAUGUGGGUAUAGGUGCGAAAGACUCAUCGAACCACCUAAUAGCUGGUUUCCUCCGAAGUUUCCCUCAGGAUAGCCGCAAUGCUUUUAGUUAAGGGGGGUAGAGACAUGGGUAGAGGUCUAGGGGAUCUACGGAUCCUCAGCCUAUUUCCAAACUUCGAACCUUCUUGUUACUAGCUUAUUUCCGAAUAGGAAGCUGGUAAAUGAAUAUGCGUUGCGAGUGGGCUCGGACUGGUAAGCGGUCCUGGCGAAAAGGGAUGAACCUAACGUAUGGAUAAGGUGCCUAAAUGUACUACCAAUGAUACCAUUAAAAGAGUCCAUGUAUUAAAACAGCAGGUCGGUGUCCCUAAAAGCAGGCAUCCGUUAAUGAGUGUGUUAAAACUCCCCUGCCGAAUACUAGGGCCUUGAAAAUGAAUGGCGCACAUAGUACUACCGAUACCAUACACAUGCAGCUGAUGCAUGGAGUAGGGGGACAUGAACAUUAUCAACGAAGGCAUCUCGUAAGAGGUGUUGGAGAAGUGUUUAUUGCACAUCCUAAUUGAAGUAGCGUUUAUCCAGGUUAACAUCCUGGAGGCUGAUGAGGAGUAGGGUUUCUGGGCAACAUACACUGUCCCAGAGUUAGUCGGUCCUGAUCCCAAUAAUGGUGAGAAAGGGAACACGGUUGAUAUUCCGUGACUAGUAGCAGGGAGUGGCAACACAGAGGAAACGUUUUCCGUCGAUUAGAUACCGAUUAUUAGGGAUCUCUUUCCUAAAUGACGGUGUGCGUGUGCUAGGAAUCAGGUCAACUGGAGAAUAUUUGCAUGCGUACCUGGCAAAAUGCUGAUUCGUCAGCAUUAAGGGCUGUCUGAUUGAUCCAUGAAGCAAGCGUUUUUAGUACUGCGCUAGGCGUACCGAUGACCGCAUCAGGUCUCCGAGGUGAGUAGCCUAUGGCCAUUGAGGUGUGGUAGUUCAGGGAAUUCGGCCAAUUGGAGCUGUAACUUCGGGAUAAAGCUUGGCUCUGAUGGAAAUCAGAACUGAUUGUUACAAGGAGAGCCCAACUGUUUAAUAAAAACGCAGUGUCGCGCUGAAGUCAUACAGCUUGUGAACGCGACAUGAAUCCUGCUCAGUGCUGUGUCUGUUAAAGUGGUUCAAGCCAACGAAGCACCGGUAAAUAGCUGGGGUAACUAUGACUCUUAUCAAAGUAGCGAAAUACCUCGUCACUUAAUUAGUGACCUGCAUGAACGGAGCUAUGAGGUUCUCACUGUCCCAAACUAUCUCUCAGCGAACCAACAGUUGUGGGAACGGGCACAAGUUAUCCAGCGGGGAAAGAAGACCCUGUAGAGCUUCACUUUGGUCUAGUCUUGUAUGGUUUCGUCAAGGGUGCAGUCUAGGUGGGAGAGCAAUCGAAUAUGAGAAACCACUACCUUGUCUGGAAUUAUGCUUAUCUCGAAAGAGAGAUAUGGCUAGAUAGAAAGUUUGGCUGGGGCGGCACACCUUCGAAAAUGCAGCGAAGGUGUCCUAAGUUGAGCUCAGUGAGGACAGAAAUCUCACGUCGAGGAUAAGGCCAAAAGCUCAAUUUACUGUGCCUUUUUGUACUAGGACCAGUUUGGAAACAAAGGCCUAACGAUCCCUAAUUAGUGGUAAGUGCGUACCACUUGGGGUGACAGACAAGUUACCUCCGGGACAACUGGCUUGUGGCUGCUAAGAGAUCAAAUCAACGCAGCUUUUUGAUUCUUCGAUGUCGGCUCUUCCUAUCCUAGUGUCGCAUAAGUCACUAAGGGUUGGAUUGUUCACCCGUAUUAGGGAUCGUGAGCUGGGUUUAGACCGUCGUGAGCCAGGUUUGUUUUAUCCUACUGGAUACUCCAUCAUGAUAGUAGAUUGAUUUAGUACGAGAGGAACUGUUGAUUAUGGCCUCUGGUUCAGCGAUUAUGGGAAACCAUACGUCGCGCAGCUACGCCGUCUGGGAUAAUGGCUGAAGGCCUCUUAAGCCAGAAACUCAUCUAGAGACUGAUGGAUGGUGGUAUCAUCCGCGGCAAGAUAAACUUUAUAGCGGAAAAGCCACUAAGGUAACCCAAUGUAGAAGACGUUGU